rnacentral:lncRNA from 1 species
GUUAUUUUUUAAUUAAAAUAUUAAGUACUUUUAAAUAAGGGGGAGAAAAAUUGAGGUUUAUUAUUGAAAUUUUUCAUUUGAGCUUCCUGCUUUAAGCCCUAUUCACAUGAUAAAUUUCUGUGUACCUAUGCUUUCUUUUUCUUGUAAUGUUACUCCCUGGAGUUGAACUUGCUUUAUAUAUAUAUUUCAUUUUUAAUAGAAACGGGGUUUCACUAUAUUGCCUAGGCUGGUCUUGAACUCCUGGGCUCAAGUGAUCCUCCUGCCGAGGCCUCCCAAAUUGCUGGGACUACAGCUGUGAGCCACCAUGCCCAGCCUUAACUUGGUUUUAAGACCUCUGAUUUGCCUUGCCUCAAUUACCUCCUUUCUUAUUUUCUUUCCUUUGUUGACUCUCAUACUCUGUUCUCCUAAUUCUCCCCCUUUUCCACUCCCUGCCCACCCUGAAAGACACACACACACACAAUAAGUGGGUGGAGUAAGAAGUCAACGGAGUUGGAUAUAAGCAUUCCUGCUUUUCUGACAUCUCCAGUGUCUUGGAGAACAAGGAUUCUAGAAUGAGGGCUCCUCAUUAUGCUUCCUUUCAACAUUUUUUCUCUGUGUUACUUAAGCUUUCACCCCAAGCAUGUUUGACAGAGAGCCAGUGCAUUCCCCUUACUUUUUACAAAAAUAAAAAAAGAAAGAAAAAGAAAGAAAGAAAGAAAAAGAAAGAAAGAAAGAAAGAAAGAAAGAGAAAGAAAGAAAGAAAAGAAAGAAAGAAAGUUACCGAUCUUAGUAGACCAAAAAGCUAAACUUAUGAAAGUCUCAAUUCUGGGCACAAGCCUGAGAUAACCUCUAAACUCUUUAAGGUUGUAAUUUAUCUAGACAUUGGAUGAAAUAAGAGGACUUGGGCAGAGGGCACUAAUAGAAGCAUAAGAGAAAGUUUGGUUAAAGGAAGGGAUUGAUAAAAGGGAUUAUUUCUAAGAAGAGUGGUGAGGUUUCACUCAUUAAGGAAGGAAACAUUUUAUAAAUAAGUUAUUAACUUUAUAAGUAAGUAUAAAGCCUUGUUUCUAUAUUUAUUCUCCAUAUAAUAUUUUACAAAAGUGGCAUCCAAUUUAGCUGACCCCUUCUCAGACAUUUCUGAAAUCUACCUAACUCUAAGAUGGGAUACUGUGACUAUUUCCACAAAUAGAUGCUGAACUAAAGAAUUAUUUUUCCAGGGCAUUAAUGACAUUUUGGUAGAAAAUAGUCUUUGGUCAAAUGACAUCGUGGGACAGUAAUAAUAAAUUUAAUGAAGCAUGUCCUAUGUGACAGGCACUGGUCCAGCACUUCACAUUUUAAACCAUUAUGAUAUACAUUUUACAAGUGAGGAGACUGAGGCCAGAAAAGUUAAGUAACUCCCUUCCUGCUAGCUCAGCGUACUUCCUAGGGUUUGGGGAAUGAUGAGGUGAGAGUAUGCAUAUAAAGCACCCACAGUGCCUGGUACUUAUUAUUUACAAUACAUUGUAGUUAUUUUUAUAAUAGUCAUUGAUUUUGUUUUUGUGGUUUUGUGAUUAAUGGUAACUCAGAAAUAGGACUUAAAGCAGGAAGCUCAAAACAAAUGAAAUGUAGGCUUUGCUCUACAUUUUUGUUUCUCCCUAAUGCUUUUUACACUCAUGCUAUAAAAUUACAUUUGUUUAUUGCUUACAUUUCCCCACUAGAAUGCAGGCUUAAUGAAGGCAGGGAUGUGUACCUGUUUUGUUCAUUGAGGUAUCCAAAGUGCCUAAAACAAAGUUUCACAUAUAUUAGAACCUCAGUCAGUUUUUGUUGAGUAAAUAAAUUGCCCAAGGUCGUACAACUUGGGAAUAACAGAGUCUAGAUUUGCAUGCAAACAAACUGGCUUCAGUGACCAGUCUCUUAACUGCUAGUCUAUACUAUGUCUCUACCUGAAGUACAUGAAUCGUUUAUCAAUUUCUGAUGCCAUAUAAAACAUGAUGCUUUUCAUUCACAGCUGCCUUUAUAAACCGUAGGCAAUUGUGGCCUAUAGAGAGAGAAGUCAAUGGAGUCUUCUGCAUCAUUGCCAAGGGAUUUUUCUGGGAGAAUUUCCAGUCUGUAUCAAGUCUCUGUGGGCUCAGUUUAGCCCAGCUUAUGUAUACUAUGGUCAUUCUGGGUAAAGAAGGGUGAUGUCAUAAAAACUUGUGCAUUGUCUUUUAAGUCUUGGCUAUGGCUAAACCCAGAGAAAAUGAUUUUUUUUAUGUCACUGUGACCUUUUGGUGUUCAUUUCUUUCACAUUCUCAUUCCCAUUUCCUGAGUCACAAGAAGAACUCUCUUAAUGAAGAUCAAAAGUCAGAGGAAGCUCAAUUGUAGAUUUCAUUCAGAAAUGAAAAUGCACUACAAAACCUCUUCAGAAGCCUCUUUCUACACUGAGUUGAUUUUAGGCUAACAGUCAAGUGGGCAGGCUUGAUUCAGAUGACAGCUUAAAGAGCCCUCGUGUCUGAGUCACUUCAGUGUCUGCACCAGUUUUCCAGUUUUUGCCUUCAUUACAUUAGUAUGGAUUAGGGUAUGAUCAGCAAUACUUUUUCCACCUGCACUUUUAAGAAGUGUAAAACGUGGGUGGUGGUACUUUUAAAUUAGAAGAACAGAUGUAGCAGACAUGACAUCUUUUUCUUUCACUCCUCCAUCCUCAUAGCCUAGAGACAUCAGAUGCAAUCCUUUCUCAUUUGCCUAACCUCUGAAAACAACUUCUCAGUGUCUUUCUUAGACUAAGGGGUGCCUCUCAGAGGAAGACAGAAACAGCUAUUCAUAUGAAAAUGUCUAGAGUCCUGGGGAGUGUAAUGUGUCUGUCCUAUACUAAAGAUGGAAUAGAUACCUUGACUUUAUUUUUAAAAUGGCAACUAGACAAGAGGAUUCCAUGUGUUCCAAUCUACAUGUAACAGGGCAUGGAUAAUGUAGCCUGCUCCCUCCAACAGGUUAUGAGGCCUUCAAGUCACAUUUGCAUUCCCUAUCAUUGUCUGGCAUCUUUUCUAGUGGUCGGCUAUUGUUUCUUAUGAGAAGGUGUUUCCCUGGACUAUGGUAUCUUUCUGUCUGCAUCACUGCCAGUAGUUAGGCCUUAAGUAAGUACCUUUUCUCCUUACAGAAUAUCCAUUACUCUAAUUGUAAAUCUGGAGGAAAUAUACUGUAACAGGGAUAGCUCAAAUCUAGUUUAUGGGGAAGAGUGUAGAAUAGAAAUACAUAACGGGUUUAGGGUGUGAUAUACUCUCUGGCACUUACCAGUGCAGUGUUAUUACUUGCAUAGGAUGCUUAACUUCUCUGAACCUCAGCUAUAUCAUGUGAAAAUGGAAAAAUAAUUUGUACUUCCUAGGGUUUGGGGAAUGAUGAGAUGAGAGUAUGCAUAUAAAGCACCCACAGUGCCUGGUACUUAUUAUUUACAAUAAAUUGUAGUGAUUUUUAUAAUAGUCAUUGAUUUUGUUUUUGUAGUUUUGUGAUUAAUGGUAACUCAGAAAACACUAAAAUCAUGUAGACUUAAUAUGCUUGUAGGAAAGACAUGAGAACUGCUUAUCUUCAUCCAUUCAUCUUAACUUGUCCCAGUCUUAACCUAGCCAAAGCAUGACUCAGCGUUACAAUGGCUAUCACCAACCUUUUCCACCCAGACUUCCCCAUUUCAGUAACCUGCAGCUUUUCCUUUCAGUUGAUAAGACCAAAAACAUUAGAUUCAUCACUGUGUCCAUAUAUAAUAACAAAAUCAGCAAAUGCUAUUGGCUCUAACCUUAAAAAACAGAAUAUCCUAAAUCUAAUCACUUCUGUUCACCUCCAGUCUACCAUUCCUGAUCCAAACUACCACCAUCUCUCUUUUAGAAUAUCAUAAUAGCCUCUUAACUAAUCACUCCUCGUCUAUCCUUGCCCCUAACAAUUUAUUCUAACACAUCAGCUAGAGUGAUUUUGUUUUAACCUAACUUAGAUCAGAUCACACCUCCACUCAGAUCCCUUCAGUGGCUUCCCAUAUUAUUCAAACUGAAAGCCAAAGUGCUAUACCUGACAUAAAAGAAUCUGCAUGAUUUGGGUCCUGCUCCCUCUCUGACCCCAUCUCCUACUCCCUGUUUCCACUCACUCACUCUAUUCAAUUCAGAGCAACUUUGCACUUGUCAUUUUUUCUGCUUGGAAUUCUCUUCCCUCCAAUAUUUAUAUGGCUCACUUUCUUAAUUUUUCAGGCCUCCAUUCAAAUAGUGCCUCCCAGAGAGACCUGUGUAAAACAGCAACACACUUCCCAGCACUCUCCAUCCCUUUUACUCACUCUUAGUUUCUCUGACAUAUUAUAUAUUGUUUAUUGUCCAUUUUCCCUAACUAAAAUUUAGCUCUAUAAGGCAUAUUGUUUUGUUUAUCAAUGUAUCCCUAGUACUGAACAAAUGAAAAAUUUGCUGUGUGUCUCUUAUGUUUUAAACACUGUAGCACUACAGAUAAAACAUGAACUCCAGCCUCCACUACAGAUAAAACAUGAGCUCCAGUGCUAAAACAUAGGCCAAUCACAGUCGCUUAUGCCUAUAAUCCCAGCAAUUUGAGGUGGGAGGAUUCCUUGAGCCCAGGAGUUUGAGACCAGUCUAGGCAACAUGGUGAGACCCUGUCUUUACAAAAAUAAAAAAAAUAAUAAUAACCAGGCAUGAUGGUGUGUGCCUGUAGUCCCAGCUACUUGGGAGGCUGAGGCUGGAGGAUCACUUGAGCUCAAGAGGUUGAGGCUGCAGUGAGCUGUGAUCAGGCCCUUACCUUCCAGCCUGAGUGACAGAGCAAGGGCCCUGUAUCAAAACAAAAACAAAAACUACUUUAAAUGAAGGCUUGUUGGUAAUCAUUUCACAAUGUGUAUAUAUAUCAAAAUAUCAUGUUAUAUACCUUAAAAUGUACAAUUUAUUUCAAUAAAGAUGGAAAAUAAUUAUUUCAUGGAACCUUGCUAAAGCAAACAAUAAAUUGAGUAUCUACAAAGUGUCUAUGUUGGCCCUCCAGAAAGAAAAAAAACAGAUAAGGGCCAACAAAGAAAUAAUAUAACUAUACAAUUCCCAUUAUGCUCAACGCUAUACUAAAGGUCUUUGCCAGGUACUGAUAGAUUAGAAUAGGGAGCUUGAUGGCAUGAAGGAUGACAGUGUCAUCAGGAGGGUAAUGCUUGAGCUAGAAUUUGAGCAGAAUUUUGAAGGAUGAACAUUCAGUAAGCAACUGAGGGGUGAAGGGUGGUGGUAAGAGUGGUUCAUUGAGAAAGCAUUCCAGAUGAAGGGAAGAGCAAGUAAAAUAACAAGGAUAUUUAAAAGAGUAUAGCAACAGAUGGAGAGAAACUUAGGAUAGAGUGAAUAGGAAGAGCAUGUGAAACAUACAAAAUUCCAUUCACUGGAGAGGAGUUCUGAUAGACUGAAAGAACUCAUGAUGGUUUUGAAAAUUAUUUGAAUCAUAUCCUUUAGGCCUGGUUUAUGUUCCUGGGGUCAGUUUAUCUUCUACUUUAGGUAAGGAACAGAACAAUAACAAACAUACUUUAGUAUCAAUCCUUAGUUCAGCUCACCAGCUUUGGGUAAAAUUGUGAAUAUAUCCUUUCGCCAGAGCUUUGGCAGAAAAAUCUAUUACUUAAUUACCUUAGAAUACCUUUGCUUGUCAACAAGAGACCAUUUUAUGCCCCAACUCCCAACCUCAAUAGAAAAAAAGUAGAAAAUAAAGAAGUAUGUCCAUAUUUGACAUAAUAUAGGAAGGUUUCUCUUUAAAUAAAUGGCUUAGCAUUUAUCUGUUUGACUGUUUACUUCAGAGCUGCUUUUAAAGGUUUUGCACCCAUCUAUAAGUCAGAUACUCCCAUGUAAUGUACCAAAUGGGAUCAAAACUGAGUCAGUUUUCUAACACUGCAUUCAGUCUAGAUUAGAAAAAGUUUCUUAAAUUGGCAAAUUAGAUCAUAAGAACAAAGCAAAACAAACAAACAAACAAAAAACCCACAGUGUAGUUGGUGUGCAAAUGUAGCUGAUGAGAUUUGGAUUGAGUGUCAUAUUGUGAGGUGUUAUGAACUUCUCAAAACAUCAUUUCUGUGAACACAUGAAAAUUGAGUGUCUGCAAUGUGCAAAAAAGUGUAAUCAGGGAGAGAGAGAGAAAAAUUACUAGUCAUGUACUUAAAAAAUCUUAUACCAGGUUACACUUUGGGGUGGGGUAAAUGGAGUGCCACUGGUAGAGUUGAGCAGUGUAGAUGAUUCACCUUCCUACACCAUCUAGAUCUAAUCAGUUGCAAAAUGAAAAUGUCUUUAAAUCUCUGUUAUAUCUGAAAAAAGUGGCAGAAAGGAGACAGGACUAAAUUGCACCUCCCACUUGGACAG